rnacentral:rRNA from 1 species
ACGAACGCUGGCGGCGUGCUUAAGACCUGCAAGUCGCACGGAAAGGCCCUGCUUUUGUGGGGUGCUCGAGUGGCGAACGGGUGAGUAACACGUGAGUAACCUGCCCUUGACUUUGGGAUAACUUCAGGAAACUGGGGCUAAUACCGGAUAGGAGCUCCUGCUGCAUGGUGGGGGUUGGAAAGUUUCGGCGGUUGGGGAUGGACUCGCGGCUUAUCAGCUUGUUGGUGGGGUAGUGGCUUACCAAGGCUUUGACGGGUAGCCGGCCUGAGAGGGUGACCGGCCACAUUGGGACUGAGAUACGGCCCAGACUCCUACGGGAGGCAGCAGUGGGGAAUAUUGCACAAUGGGCGGAAGCCUGAUGCAGCAACGCCGCGUGCGGGAUGACGGCCUUCGGGUUGUAAACCGCUUUCGCCUGUGACGAAGCGUGAGUGACGGUAAUGGGUAAAGAAGCACCGGCUAACUACGUG